rnacentral:rRNA from 1 species
UUCCUACGGGAGGCAGCAGUGGGGAAUUUUGGACAAUGGGGGCAACCCUGAUCCAGCAAUGCCGCGUGUGUGAAGAAGGCCUUCGGGUUGUAAAGCACUUUUGUCCGGAAAGAAAACGCCGUGGUUAAUACCCGUGGCGGAUGACGGUACCGGAAGAAUAAGCACCGGCUAACUACGUGCCAGCAGCCGCGGUAAUACGUAGGGUGCAAGCGUUAAUCGGAAUUACUGGGCGUAAAGCGUGCGCAGGCGGUCCGCUAAGACAGAUGUGAAAUCCCCGGGCUUAACCUGGGAACUGCAUUUGUGACUGGCGGGCUAGAGUAUGGCAGAGGGGGGUAGAAUUCCACGUGUAGCAGUGAAAUGCGUAGAGAUGUGGAGGAAUACCGAUGGCGAAGGCAGCCCCCUGGGCCAAUACUGACGCUCAUGCACGAAAGCGUGGGGAGCAAACAGGAUUAGAUACCCUGGUAGUCCA